rnacentral:rRNA from 1 species
GACGAACGCUGGCGGCGUGCUUAACACAUGCAAGUCGAACGGAAAGGCCCUGCUUUUGUGGGGUGCUCGAGUGGCGAACGGGUGAGUAACACGUGAGUAACCUGCCCUUGACUUUGGGAUAACUUCAGGAAACUGGGGCUAAUACCGGAUAGGAGCUCCUGCUGCAUGGUGGGGGUUGGAAAGUUUCGGCGGGUGGGGAUGGACUCGCGGCUUAUCAGCUUGUUGGUGGGGUAGUGGCUUACCAAGGCUUUGACGGGUAGCCGGCCUGAGAGGGUGACCGGGCACAUUGGGGCUGGGGUACCGCCCAGAAUCCUACGGGAGGGAGCAGUGGGGAAUAUUGCACAAUGGGCGGAAGCCUGAUGCAGCAACGCCGCGUGCGGGAUGACGGCCUUCGGGUUGUAAACCGCUUUCGCCUGUGACGAAGCGUGAGUGACGGUAAUGGGUAAAGAAGCACCGGCUAACUACGUG